rnacentral:lncRNA from 1 species
GCCAUUUUCUGACAUUUGAAAAGAUCUGAAGAUACGCCCCUUGGAUGCCUGCAGAGAAGCUCUGGGGCUUCAGUCAAUGACUCAGGGUAGCCACCGAACAUGAUGCUCGGGCAGUGGGUGCCACCUGGACUCCACUCUCCCCUCUCUCUGGGAUCAUAGAGUCCAAGGUGUUCUGUGGCCUCUCGGCCAAUCCCAGCAGCUCAGCGUGCAGAAGACCGAGGAGCCAUUGGAAUUCAACACAACACGAAAUAAUCAACAAAUUCGGGGAAUGUUAAUCUGACCAUCACCAGUUACAAAUGAUGUUUCAUGCUACCUUCUAUUCCUGCCUUCAUAAAUCAAGCUCUAAAUCUCCAGGAAAAAAUGUGCUCAGGAUGGCCAGAGAAAUGUCCUUCCAACUGUGCAUGGAAAGCAAGGACAGCAAAGCCUUCCAGACCUGCCUGUGACAUGCACUGCACAUUCUAAAGAUGCCUAUGCAAUGGAAAACACCACUGUCUGCUCCAGCACAGCUGCCAUUCUUCCAUCUUAUCGACCUUAAUGCAACAACUCCUCACAGGCAGAGAUUUUAAAAUGUGUUCUUGGCAGAAGAGAGACUCAAAGAUGGGACAAAUGUGUCAUUUAAAUGCCUGUUAAAAUGGAAACAGACAUAGUAUAGUCAGAGGAUUGUGGCAGCUAAGAACAUAGUCUCUGGAGCAAAUCUGCAUGGGUGGCAAUGCCAAGCACAUGAGGUCCUAGUUGUAUGAACUUAGGAAAAGAAAAAGAGAACAUAUAUCCCCCUACCUUUUGAUUUCCAACAGUCUACUGAGAGGCCAAGAUUAUUUGCAGGGAAAGAAAAGGGGUCAAAAUGUUUUGCCAGUAACUCCCAAAUCAUCUACAGCCAAGGAGAAAAGUGUUUCAAGACAGAGGUGCUCAAUGGUAUCAAAUACUGCCAACAGACCAAGUAAUACAUGCAUUGAAGUGUCUACUGGAUCUAGCUAUAUGAAUUUUUAAUUUAGGACACUUAGGCCAUACUGAAGCAAGGUGACAAAAUGAAUAGCUACAAUGUCUCGUGAAUCUUGGGUUUCCAUUCACCCUGGUAUUCAAGAGAAAUUCUUGCAUCAUGGAAGUUGCAGUUGGAUAGGACUUUCUCAGCUGAACACUGUCAUCUGCCAGAGCUUCAGGCAAGAACCCAGAACAGAUGAAACCCCAGACAUGACAAAAUAAGCCAAAGAAUACCAGGCCAAGGUGUGAAAGGCCAGAUGAGAACAAGCAGCGUACACGAUUCUGUUGCCAACAGAUCUCCCCUAACAGUGUCGUGCACCAAAUUUCCACAGUGAAUGUCAGGAAAAAAUGGCAAUUGAGGUGGGUGGUCAAAAGAGAAGCACAGUCUAUGAUGAAGUCACCCCAGAGAAGUCCUUUUUCCGUUUUCUCCUGAGAAAUUACCAGAAGAAAUUAAAAUCCUUUUGAGUAUUGC